ACUCCUACGGGAGGCAGCAGUGGGGAAUUUUGGACAAUGGGGGCAACCCUGAUCCAGCCAUGCCGCGUGCGGGAAGAAGGCCUUCGGGUUGUAAACCGCUUUUGUCAGGGAAGAAAAGCCUUGAGCUAAUACCUCGAGGUGAUGACGGUACCUGAAGAAUAAGCACCGGCUAACUACGUGCCAGCAGCCGCGGUAAUAC
rnacentral:rRNA from 1 species